GACGAACGCUGGCGGCGUGCUUAACACAUGCAAGUCGAACGGAAAGGCCCUGCUCUUGUGGGGUGCUCGAGUGGCGAACGGGUGAGUAACACGUGAGUAACCUGCCCUUGACUUUGGGAUAACUUCAGGAAAAUGGGGCUAAUACCGGAUAGGAGCUCUUGCUGCAUGGUGGGGGUUGGAAAGUUUCGGCGGUUGGGGAUGGUCUCGCGGCUUAUCAGCUUGUUGGUGGGGUAGUGGCUUACCAAGGUUUUGACGGGUAGCCGGCCUGAGAGGGUGACCGGCCACAUUGCGACUGAGAUACGGACCAGACGCCUACGUGAGGCAGCAGUGGGAAAUAUUACGCAGUGACCGGAAGCCUGAUGCAGCGACGCCGCGUGCGGGAUGACGGCCUACGGGUUGUAAACAGCUUUCGACUGUGACGAAGCGUGAGUGACGGUAAUGGAUAAAGAAGCACCGGCUAACUACGUG
rnacentral:rRNA from 1 species